rnacentral:rRNA from 1 species
ACUGUACAGUAGAGUUUGAUCCUGGCUCAGAUUGAACGCUGGCGGCAUGCCUUACACAUGCAAGUCGAACGGUAACAGGUUAAGCUGACGAGUGGCGAACGGGUGAGUAAUAUAUCGGAACGUGCCCAACUGUGGGGGAUAACUACUCGAAAGAGUGGCUAAUACCGCAUACGACCUGAGGGUGAAAGCGGGGGAUCGCAAGGCCUCGCGCAGUUGGAGCGGCCGAUAUCGAGAUUAGGUAGUUGGUGGGGUAAAGGCUCACCAAGCCAACGAUCUGUAGCUGGUCUGAGAGGACGACCAGCCACACUGGGACUGAGACACGGCCCAGACUCCUACGGGAGGCAGCAGUGGGGAAUUUUGGACAAUGGACGCAAGUCUGAUCCAGCCAUGCCGCGUGCGGGAAGAAGGC